rnacentral:rRNA from 1 species
GACGAACGCUGGCGGCGUGCUUAACACAUGCAAGUCGAACGGACAGGCCCUGCUUUUGUGGGGUGCUCGAGUGGCGAACGGGUGAGUAACACGUGAGUAACCUGCCCUUGACUUUGUGAUAACUUCAGGAAACUGGGGCUCAUACCGGAUAGGAGCUCCUGCUGCAUGGUGGGGGUUGGAAAGUUUCGGCGGUUGGGGAUGGACUCGCGGCUUAUCAGCUUGUUUGUCGGGUAGUGGCUGACCAAGGCUUUGACGGGUAGCCGGCCUGAGAGGGUGACCGGCCACAAUGGGACUGAGAUACGGACCAGACUGCUACGGGAGGCAGCAGUGGGGAAUAUUGCACAAUGGGCGGAAGCCUGAUGCAGCAACGCCGCGUGCGGGAUGACGGCCUUCGGGUUGUAAACCGCUUUCGCCUGUGACGAAGCGUGAGUGACGGUAAUGGGUAAAGAAGCACCGGCUAACUACGUG